GGUACUGCACAGACCUCGAACGCUUCGGAAAAUCGCUGCUACCACUGCUAACCGAUUCGGAAAUCGACUUCAAGUCAGCAUUGACCAGCUCGCUGGAGGAGUGGCACUAUAUCGCCGUCUUGUACAUGAGUCGCUGCGUGGAGUCCUUUGCUGAGAACAUUGCGGUUCUCCUGCAAGCGGCCUUAAACGAGGCUUCAGUCAAAGUGACAACGGAGAACUCGCGGGACAAAAGUGACGUCGAGAAGU